ACUCAAAGGAAUUGACGGGGGCCCGCACAAGCAGUGGAGUAUGUGGUUUAAUUCGAAGCAACGCGAAGAACCUUACCAGGUCUUGACAUCCGACUAACGAAGCAGAGAUGCAUCAGGUGCCCUUCGGGGAAAGUCGAGACAGGUGGUGCAUGGUUGUCGUCAGCUCGUGUCGUGAGAUGUUGGGUUAAGUCCCGCAACGAGCGCAACCCUUGUCAUUAGUUGCUACGCGAGAGCACUCUAAUGAGACUGCCGUUGACAAAACGGAGGAAGGUGGGGACGACGUCAAAUCAUCAUGCCCUUUAUGACCUGGGCUACACACGUACUACAAUGGCCGCUAACAACGGGAAGCAAGAGCGCGAGCUGGAGCAAAUCCCCAAAAGCGGUCUCAGUUCAGAUUGCAGGCUGCAACCCGCCUGCAUGAAGUCGGAAUUGCUAGUAAUCGCAGAUCAGCAUGCUGCGGUGAAUACGUUCCCGGGCCUUGUACACACCGCCCGU
rnacentral:rRNA from 1 species